GGCGCUAUCGUCUAGCCCGAUCUAGGACGUUGCCCUCUCAAGGCAAAAACACGGGUUUAAAUCCCGUUAGCGCCACCA
rnacentral:tRNA from 1 species